rnacentral:lncRNA from 1 species
UAUCAUAUGUCUACCAAUAAUCAAAAAUUGAAGGUGAAAAAGGUUGGAUAUGGAAGCAGGGAGGUCACCGUUGUAAGUUAUGGCAAGAUAUCGUAGACAAACUAGUUUGAAAAUUUCAGUUGGGAUAUGGUAAAAUCGGACAUUAAUAGCAUGUAGUACCUUGAGCAACUUGAAACCCAUGGCAUGUAUUGGCAGUGGAUAUGGGUGAUAAGGACCAUAGCAAAGGAGAGAACGGACAAUGGAUGCACAAUCACUUCUUAUCGAAUCACACACUUGUUUGAAGCAGAAUAAACUGUUCCAAUGGGCACACAAGCGGCGUUGGUCUUUUAUAACAUCGUCACAACUUUGUAAGACAUGCAGAAACUUGACCCUACUAGCUUCUUCCCUACACACGUGCUGCCAGCAAGAAUGCACACGAUACUUGCUAUACCAAUAGUCAUCAUCAUGUGAUGUGUCGAGAACAAGAUGAUACCACAUACAAAGCUUGCCCAAGCAUGUCUGCCAAAAAUAUUCAAAACUUUCUUCUCCACUAGGUUGAAGAAACAUAUCAGCACUCAACGUAGCGUUGAGCGUGGUUAGUUCAAUAUCCAUAUAUGGACAGUAAGCUCCCAUGUAGAGAAAUAACAUUUUUAAAUAUUGGGGUAAGUAAUCAUAGCUUGGGUAAAGUACCUCUGAUAUUUGAUUAUAUGCAUCUAGGAAGACUGGACUAUGUUGUUUGACGAGUACCUCAGUCCAGUAUUCUGGGGUCUUGUCGGCUUUUGAUAGGAGCUCUGCAACCGUGAUUAUCAUAAGAGGAAGACCUUCACAUUUCUUGGCAAUCUUCUCUCCGAGUUUCUCAAGUUGAGGAGGGAAACCCUCUUCACCAAAAACCUUCUCACCAAGUAGUUCCUUACUUUCUUCUCUAUUCAACAAACCUACUCUUUGGAACCCAUCCUCUGCUAUGCCUGGUAUAUCUUGUCUACUUGUAAUUAAGAAUCGAAUCCUUCCAACAAUAUUCAUUUUUGUCAAGUGAUUUGCUGCUUGUAUCUCCCAAAUAUCAUCCAACACGAUGAGACAUUUCUUAUCCUUCAAUGUUUCUUCCAAUAGUACAACUAAUACCUCCUCCUCAACUCCUUGGGUAAGCAUUUUGUACGUGUUGGGAUCCACUUGAGCUAGAACACAUCGUAAUAGUUCAUUAGAUUCACAUUUUCUGCCCACUUUGACCCAUGCUCGAAACUCAAAAUGGCUCCGAAUUGAUGGAUCUUCAAAAAUAUGCUUAGCAAGAGUUGUCUUUCCAACGCCCGCCAUCCCAAUAAUCGAAUAGUUUUUAUCUUCAAGAAGAUCAUCUCUGGCUUUUCGAAACUCAUCAGAUAAUCCAACCAUCUUUGACUUGAUUCCACCAAAAUCGAUUCUUGAGGAAAUAGGUUCACCUUCUUCUUCUGGCAUAUUCUCCAUUUCAUAAGUGUAUUCCUCCUCCAUCUUCUUCAUCUUCUCGACGAAGCAAUCAACAUGGUGUUGCAGACUCUGCAGCUCUACAGAGAAUGACAAGUUGUCCCUCUCGCUGUCGAGUUGUGGAAGAAUCUGAGGUAAGACAUGGGAUUCGAGUAAAUCUUCAAAUUCCCAAAUUGCCUCUUUGAUUCGUUCAUCCGCAGCAUUCACCUUCGUCCUGAUCUUGCUGCAGCUGGUCUCGUCCAAUUUGAGCAGAACAUUCUGCAAGCGAUCCACCUCGUCGUAGGCAGGUAGUAAGAUCUGUGGAGAGGGGGAAAUGCAAAACAAUUGUAGAAUACAGUGAAUCGUAUUCUUGAGAAAAGUCACUGCACCAUAAUCAGCUGAGGGUAGUAUUUGUGGAGAGUGGGAAACGAGAGAAAUGCGAGACGAUUGUAGAAUACGCUCAAUCGUAUUCUUCAGAGAAUCCGCCGCACCAUAAGCCGCCAUAUCCAAAUAAUCUGCUGAUCGUUGAAAUAAAAUUGCUUCCACAAACUUAGCUCAGAAAUUUUCUUCCAAAACUGUGUGGUAGAAAUCGCCUAAGAAAGAAACGGAGAAUUAUAAUAAGCAAACUGAGAUGAAACAAAUUAAUGAUAGAUGAUCUUUAGCUCUGUGCUGUACCUCUCGUGGAGGAGUUGGCACAAGUCAACGGCGGCGGCGGCGGCAGCUGGUUUUGAUACAAUCUCAGAAACAUUCAAGAAUUUUAGUAAAUGAUUUUGAUACGAUGGUAAAAUGGAUGUAUUGAUGAUUUUGAAGGCAAAUUAAGGUGUGGAAGAAUAAUUACAGGGAAGAUUAAUUAUGAAGAUUGAGCAGUUGAUCAAGCGCGUUGAAAAUUAUAACAGCGGCAAGCAAUCUAACUCAUAAAUAAUGACAAUUUGACAUUUUUACAUAAUUUAAAAUUUUGAAAUAAAUAAAUAUAUUGUGUCUAGUAGUGUACAUUAAAUAAAAAUACUGAUAAAUUUCAAACAUUAAUUUUCUACAUUGUUAGAGGUGUAACUCUGUUUAAUUUAUUUGGAUUAUCGAGUUUGACAUGAAUUUUUACUUAGAUUAGCUUAUCUUUUGAAAAGUUUGAUCAUUUAUAUUUACAUGCAAUUCAUCCAAUUUUUUACUUAUAAAUUAUAUGUCAAACAAAAUUGGAUUUUGGGUGGUUGCAUAUAUAGUCCCUAAUAAAUAAUUUUAACCUUAUAACUCCCUAUUGAAAAAUUAUACUAUUAUAAACAAAUUCUGCUUAUACUAAAUUAUUCAUGAAGCUAACAAAUUUAGGAAUUUGAAAGCUCCUUGUGUUUUGGAUUGCUGGAGUUUGCAUCGAGGUGAUUAGGCACUUUCGUUCUUUUUGGGCUUACGAUUUUUAGUUCGGCCCAUGUUUUCCUUUUUCUUUAGAAUUCUGUUUGGGCUUUGGAUCCUUUAUCGGCCCUUUUAGUUUAUUAGGUGGUGUUGUUUUUUUUUUUUUUGAGGCGGUGUUGCAUGUUGUUUCAAGGGCUUUAUGUUUUAUUUUUCGAUUAAUAUUUAAUUUAAGUAAUUAAUAUCCUUUUUUAAGGGAUUUAACUAAACCGGUAAACUUAAUUUUAAUAAGUAACAGAAUAUAAAUUUUAGCGUGAGUUCGAUUAGACAUGAGAGGUGAUGUAGGAUCAAUCUCAAUAUAUCAUUUGCAAAAGAGAUGGUAAACAAACACAAUAAACAAGCAAUCAAUCUCAGAGAAAUUGAAACAGAAAUAAGUUAAUCGUGGAUUUAAUUCAAUCUGCUCUGGUCUGAUUCUAACACCUUGUUUGAUCCUCAUAUGAAAAUCUAUCUGUAAAGCCGGUUUCUCUGUCUUUUGAGUCUAACCAACUAAUUCCAAGUUCAUUUUGAAAUAUGAAGCCAGAAAUUAACUACUAUACUAGCCAGAAUACUGAGAUUUUUAAGACUAUUAAACAAACAAAUCAACUGAUUACACACAAAUGUCAAAACAAAGUGAAAAUCAUGCAUCACAACUAAUGCUUUCACACAAAUCCAACUUACAACAAUUUCGGUAACAAACUGCAUACACAAUUCAGCAUUCAGGUUUCAUAAUCCCCAACAAAAUCCAAAUCAAGUUACAAAUCCUUAAAUUCAGACGACAAGGUGAUACAAUCUACAUUAUGGGAUAACGCAACGUCUGACCCCUUCAGCUCUCCCAUUUGCCUGAAAAGUGACAGAACUAUGACUAUAACAGAAGAUAUAUAUUUAUGACAUGAAUUGAUUUGGUUUGUAUGUGAAAAAAGAGAAGAAGUAGGGAAGAAACAUUAAGACGUGAUAUAUAUUGCAAAGUAGUGAGACUAACCUGUCAGACAAGUUGCUAAUUCACUUGAGCUCAAAAGAAGAUUCGACGAUAAGUUUGAAGGAAAACUUAUCUUUCAACUGAUUGGCACAAGCCACAGCUAAAGGAUUGCACUCCACUAAUUCAAUGGUCCUGAUCGAAGACUGAUCAUCCGGCAAAUCGAGCUGUUGCAAUUUGUAGCAGUGCUCCAUCCUUAGUGUACGAAGGUUCAAGAGGCUUCCACGUUGAGGUCUCCAUUGCACCAAAUCGGUGUCUUUAAUUACAAGUUCAAUAAGUUUCAAGAAACUCCCCGGUUUUAUUUCCCACUCUGGGCCUCGAAAGGCAUAGCAUUCUAAUCGGAGAUACUUGAGAUUUGGAAGCCGCGAACCAAUGUCAUUUAGAGACCCCCAGGGAUAUCCAACGCCAAUCAAUUCUAAAAAAGUGAGACUUGAUGGGAACAUUGAAAGAUGAAAAAUAGUAGGAAACUCACGCUUUAUCUCGGGAUUCGUGAUUCUAUAGCAAAGUGUUCUCAAAUUCUGGAGUUUUGAUAUAUAACUCAAAGAACUCAAUGGGUUGGUUUCAUGAUCAUCAUCAAAAGGCUUCAACUCCACUUGAAUCGUUAAUUCCUUUAAAUUAGGAAUUCUUUUGAGAACUUCCCUUGUACAACUGUUUUCACUCACACCAUAAAGUCUGAGGAGCUUGUUCAAGGUAACAUCAUCAGUGUUAGGGGUUGGUAGUUCCCUUCCCCAUAUCUCAAGAUGCUCUAAUUCUUCAAUGUCCCAAAUUUGCAUAGGCACAAAAGACUGAACUCCGCGCUUUUUAAUGAUCAUAUGUCUACCAAUACUCAAGAAUUGAAGGUGAAAAAGGUUGGAUAUUGAAGCAGGGAGGUCACCGUUGUAAGUUAUGGCAAGAAAUCGCAGACAAACUAGUUUGAAAAUUUCAGUUGAGAUAUGGUAAAAUCGGACAUCAUCAGCAUAUAAUACCCUGAGCAACUUGAAUCCCAUGGCAUGUAUUGGGAUUGGAUAUGGGUGAUAAGGACCGUAAAAAAGGAGAGAACGGACAGUGGAUGCACAAUCACUUUUUAUCGAAUCACAUACUUGUUUGAAGCAUAAUAAACUGUUCCAAUGGGCACACAACCGACGCUGGUCUUUUAUAACAUCAUCACAACUUUGUACGACAUGCAGAAACUUGAUCCUACUAGCUUCUACCCUACACACAUGCUGCCAACAAGAAUGCACGUGAUAUUUUCUAUGCCAAAACCAAUAUUCAUCCUCCUGUGAUGUGUCGAGAACAAGAUGAUAACACAGAGAAAGAUUUUCCAAGCAUGUCUUCCAAAAAUUAUCAAAACUUUCUUCUCCACUCGGUUGAAGAAACACAUCAGCACUCAUCAUAGCGUUGAGCAAGCUUACGUUGAUAUCCAAAUAUGGACGGAAAGCUCCCAUGUAGAGGAAACACAUUUUUAAAUAUUGGGGUAAGUAGUCAUAGCUUGGGAAAAGUACCUCUGAUAUUUGAUUAUAUGCAACCACGAAGACUGAACUACGUUGUUUGACGAGCACCUCAGUCCAGUAUUCCGGGGUCUUGUCGGCUUUUGAUAGGAGCUCUGCAACCGUGACAAUCAUAAGAGGAAGACCUUCACAUUUCUUGGCAAUCUUCUCUCCCAGUUCCUCAAGUUGAGGAGGGAAACCCUCUUCACCAAACACCUUCUCACCAAGUAAUUCCUUACUUUCUUUCUCAUUCAACAAGCGCACUCUUUCGUACCCAUGCUGCGUGACUAUUAUAUCUUUUCUACUUGUAAGUAAGACUCGAAUAUUUCCAUCAAUAUUCUUUUCUAGUAAGAAAUUUGUGAUCAAGCGAUCUGUUGCUUGUCCCUCCCAAACAUCAUCCAACACGACGAGACAUUUCUUAUGCUUCAAUUUUUCUUCAAUAGUCCAACUAAUACCUCCUCAUCAUCAUCUCCUUGGUAAGUGUUUGGUAAGCGUUGGGAUCCACUUGAGCUAGAACACAUCGUAAUAGUUCAUUAGAUUCACAUUUUCUGCCCACUUUCACCCAUGCUCGAAACUCAAAAUGGCUCCGAAUUGAUGGAUCUUCAAAAAUAUGCUUAGCAAGAGUUGUCUUUCCAACGCCCGCCAUCCCAAUAAUCGUAUAGCUUUUAUCUGCAAGAAGAACAUCUCUGGCUUUUUGAAAUUCAUCAGAUAAUCCAACCAUCUUUGACUUGAUUCCACCAAAAUCAAUUCUUGAGGAAAUAGGCUCGCCUUCUUCUUCAGCCAUAUUCUCCAUUUCAAUGAUGAACUCCAUCUCCAUCAUCUUCACCAUCUCGAUGAAGCAAUCAACACGGUGUUGUAGACUCUGCAGCUCUACAGGGAAUGACAAGCUGCCUCUCUCGCUAUCGAGUUGUGGAAGAAUCUGAUGUAAGACAUGAGAUUCGAGUAAAUCUUCAAACUCCCAAACUGCCUCUUUGAUUCGUUCAUCCACAACAUUCACCUUCGUCCUGAUCUUGCUGCAGCUGGUGUUGUCCAAUCUUAGCAGAACUAUCUGCAAGUGAUCCAUCUGGUCGUAGGCAGGUUGCAAGAUUUGUGGAGAGUGGGAAUCGAGAGAAAUGCGAGAUGAUUGUGGAAUACGCUGAAUGGUAUUCUUGAGAGAAGCCGCCGCACCAUAAGCCGCCAUAUCCAAAUAAUC